rnacentral:rRNA from 1 species
GACCUCAAAUCAGGUAGGGCUACCCGCUGAACUUAAGCAUAUCAAUAAGCGGAGGAAAAGAAACUAACAAGGAUUCCCCUAGUAACGGCGAGUGAACAGGGAGGAGCUCAAAUUUGAAAUCUGGCGUCCUCAGGACGUCCGAAUUGUAAUCUAUAGAGACGUUUUCCGUGCCGGACCGUGUCCAAGUCCCUUGGAACAGGGUAUCAAAGAGGGUGACAAUCCCGUACUUGACACGAUGACCGGUGCUCUGUGAUACGUCUUCUACGAGUCGAGUUGUUUGGGAAUGCAGCUCAAAAUGGGUGGUGAGUUCCAUCUAAGGCUAAAUAUUGGCGAGAGACCGAUAGCGAACAAGUACCGUGAGGGAAAGAUGAAAAGCACUUUGGAAAGAGAGUUAAACUCAGUCGUGUCCAAGGGGUUCAGCCGGUCCUGCCGGUGUAUUCCCUUUGGACGGGUCAACAUCAGUUUUGUCCGGUGGACAAUGGAGAUGGGAAGGUGGCACCCUCGGGUGUGUUAUAGCCUGUCGCCGCAUACAUCGGACGAGACUGAGGAACGCAGCUCGCGCAUCAGCGCCGGGGUUCGCCCACGUCCGAGCUUAGGAUGUUGACAUAAUGGCUUUAAACGACCCGUCUUGAAACACGGACCAAGGAGUCUAACAUACCUGCAAGUGUUCGGGUGUCAAACCCGAGCGCGCAAUGAAAGUGAACGUAGGAGGGAUCUGCAAGGAGCACCUUCGACCAAUCCGGACCUUCUGUGAUGGAUUUGAGUAAGAGCAUGUAUGCUGGGACCCGAAAGAUGGUGAACUAUGCCUGAAUAGGGCGAAGCCAGGGGAAACUCUGGUGGAGGCUCGUAGCGAUUCUGACGUGCAAAUCGAUCGUCAAAUUUGGGUAGAGGGGCGAAAGACUAAUCGAACCAUCUAGUAG